rnacentral:lncRNA from 1 species
AGGGCAGGGAUCCAGGUGACAAAGAAAGGCCCCAGGUGACCAGGGCAGGGAUCCAGGUGACAAAGAAAGGCCCCAGGUGACCAGGGAGCGGACCCAUGGGAGCAGGGAUGGGGAUGACGGUGCCUGGAAGGGGACCCAGGCGAUCACCAGGGAGGGGACCCGGGUGACAAGGAGAGAACCAAAGUGACAAGAAGGGCCACCCCACUCACCCUCAGCCUCGGGGUCACUCUCCGCCACAUCCGUGUCCCCGUCGGGGCGAUGCUGUCCCCAAGCAGCCAGGCCCAAAUUUGGGGCCGGAUCCGGAGGUUUUGGGGCCGCAGCCACAGCUGGAUCCCCGUCCCCGUUCUUCGAGGUCUCCCCGCUGCGUUGCUGCGUCCCGCUGCCGGAUUUGGGGCCCGCACGUGGGGCUGAACCACGCUGCUCUGGCGCCGUCCCUCCCAUAGCCCCAUCACUGUGUGAUUCUGGGGGUGAACCCGAUCUUUUUGGGGCUGAUUUCCCACCUUUUGGCUCCGUCUGCCCCACGUGGGUACCGCCGCCCGUCGCGGUGUUCCCAACAUCUGGAUUUCGGGGUCGGAUCCGGCUCCGGAGGCUCCGAAUUUGGGGAGUGGGGGCCACCUCCUCCGCAUCGGUGUCACCGCCGCCCCGAGGGCUCAGGGGAGGGGACACAUCUGGAGCAACAUCUGGAGCAACACCUGGAGCAACAUCUGGAGCAGCAGCACCCUCGGCGUCCAAAUCCCUGACACCCAGCGUCGGCUCGGGGGGGUUGGGGGCUUCCAGACCACCGAGCUCGACUGCAUUGGAAGCUCUGCCACCACCGAGGCCGGCAACAUCUGGAUCUGGGGUCUCCGUCUCCACAGCUGGAUCCCGCGGGGGAAUUUGGGGCGUUUUGUGGGUUUUCGGGUGGGGAACAUCUGGAUUCAGCUCUUCAUCCUCAACAUCUGUAUCGUUUUCCACCUCCACACUCUGAUCUCUGCUCUGAGGUCCUUUAACAUCAGGAUAUGGGGUCUCAAUCACCACAGCUGGAUCUUUUGGGGUAAUUUGGGGCGUUUUGUGGGUUUU